rnacentral:rRNA from 1 species
UAGGGAAUCUUCCACAAUGGACGCAAGUCUGAUGGAGCAACACCGCGUGAGUGAAGAAGGGUUUCGGCUCGUAAAGCUCUGUUGUAAGAGAAGAACGUGUGUGAGAGUGGAAAGUUCACACAGUGACGGUAACUUACCAGAAAGGGACGGCUAACUACGUGCUAG